AUUGAACGCUGGCGGCAUGCCUUACACAUGCAAGUCGAACGGCAGCACGGGAGCAAUCCUGGUGGCGAGUGGCGAACGGGUGAGUAAUAUAUCGGAACGUGCCCAGUCGUGGGGGAUAACGCAGCGAAAGCUGUGCUAAUACCGCAUACGAUCUAAGGAUGAAAGCGGGGGAUCGCAAGACCUCGCGCGAUUGGAGCGGCCGAUAUCAGAUUAGCUAGUUGGUGGGGUAAAGGCCCACCAAGGCGAAGAUCUGUAGCUGGUCUGAGAGGACGACCACCCACACUGGAUCUGAGGAACGGACAAGACUCCUACGGGAGGCAGCAGUGGGGAAUUUUGGACAAUGGGCGCAAGCCUGAUCCAGCAAUGCCGCGUGCAGGAUGAAGGCCUUCGGGUUGUAAACUGCUUUUGUACGGAACGAAACGGCCCUUUCUAAUACAGGGGGCUAAUGACGGUACCGUAAGAAUAAGCACCGGCUAACUACGUGCCAGCAGCCGCGGUAA
rnacentral:rRNA from 1 species